CCCAUCAGAUCAUCUUCAACACCAACAUGUUCUCUGUAGCUCUGCUACUGCUGCUGGCGGCUGGAUCCUGUGUGGAGUGUGAACAGCUGACACAACCAGCCUCUGUGACUGUUCAGCCAGGUCAACGUCUGACCAUCAGCUGUCAGGUCUCUUAUUCUAUCAGCACCUACUGGACAGUUUGGGUCAGACAGUCCAUUGGGAAGGGCAUGGAGUGGAUUGGUGGAUCUGGCAUUGGACAUAUCACAGUGUUCAAAGAUUCACUAAAUAACAGGUUCAGCAUCAGCUUAGAUGGCUCCAGUAAAACAGUGACAUUAAAUGGAGAGAAUAUGCAGCCUGAAGACUCUGCUGUGUAUUACUGUGCCAGAAAGACCACAGUGACACAAGCAAGCAGCAGAGCUGUACAAAAACAUCACAGUCUGAGAAUAACUCAGAAGAAGAGAAACUUCAAUCAGAUCACCGUCAACAUCAACAUGUUCUCUGUAGCUCUGCUGCUGCAUCCUGUGAGUCUCACUGGAUAA